rnacentral:lncRNA from 1 species
UACAGAGCAGGGCCUUGGCGGAGUUCAUUGCAGAAUGGACCCCAACGCCAGACGAAGAAAUACCAGAAUCAACCCUCCUGGGGAGGGAAUCAUACCAGGAAUGGGUCAUGUACUUUGAUGGGGCGUUCUCCCUCCAGGGCGUCGGGGUUGGCGUGUUGCUAGUCACGCCUACCAGAGAGCAUCUCAAGUACGUGAUCCAUAUGUAUUUCCCUGGGAGAAGUCAACGAACAACACC